UAUCUAUAUGAGCUUACAUGGCAACUAGUAGCUCACAGUACAACUUCUAAAUUGAAACACUAAAAUAUAUUAUUUAAAAGGAUUAUAGAAGUGUCUGAUAAAGUGAGGAGGAUUGUGUCUUAUUGGAGCAUGUGACUCUGCAUACUUGUACUGCAGAUGGUAGUGAAUUUGUGGAAGCAGACUGCAUGUUACAUGAGCCUACUUAUGUCAACACGCAAUGUCAGAAUCCAACUUAUAAAACAUGCAAUAUGAAUUAAAUUCCAAAGAACGAUCAAAGAUAGUAUAGUUCAUUAACUGCUGGUUCCAUAGAUGAUCUACAGUCAAUGAAGUAUAAUUUCCUACACACAAAUUUCAAAGAAAAUUUGAUCACCUAUCAGAGAGAGAAGAUACUGCAUUGUGUAACAAGGAUAUGCUGCUAUAAAAAGAAACAAAAGAAAAAUUGCACUCAG